UGUGCCUUAAGCAUGCAGUCGAGCGGGUCUAGCAAUAGAUCAGCGGCAGACGGGUGAGUAACACGAUAGGAAUCUACCUCGAAGUGGGGAAUAGCCGCCCGAAAGGGCGGGUAAUACCGCAUGUGAUCGCAAGAUCAAAGCCGUAAGGCGCUUUGAGAGGAGCCUGCGUCCUAUCAGCUAGUUGGUGGGGUAAUAGCCUACCAAGGCGAUGACGGGUAGCCGGUGUGAGAGCACGAUCGGCCACAAGGUCACUGAGACACGGGACCUACACCUACGGGUGGCAGCAACUGGGAAUCUUGCGCAAUGGGCGAAAGCCUGACGCAGCGACACCGCGUGCGGGAUGAAGCUCUUAGGAGUGUAACCGCUGUGGCGAGGGAUGAAAUUUUGACCGUACCUCGCUAGAAAGCACCUGCUAACCACGUGCCAGAAGCCUCGGUAAU
rnacentral:rRNA from 1 species